rnacentral:miRNA from 1 species
CAAGAUUGGUAACCAACACUAA